GCGAGUUCUAUCGGGUAAAGC
rnacentral:snRNA from 1 species